rnacentral:rRNA from 1 species
CCUACGGGAGGCAGCAGUGAGGAAUAUUGGUCAAUGGACGAGAGUCUGAACCAGCCAAGUAGCGUGAAGGAUGACUGCCCUAUGGGUUGUAAACUUCUUUUAUCUGGGAAUAAAAUGUUCCACGUGUGGGAUUUUGUAUGUACCAUAUGAAUAAGGAUCGGCUAACUCCGUGCCAGCAGCCGCGGUAAUACGGAGGAUCCGAGCGUUAUCCGGAUUUAUUGGGUUUAAAGGGAGCGUAGGUGGAUUGUUAAGUCAGUUGUGAAAGUUUGCGGCUCAACCGUAAAAUUGCAGUUGAAACUGGCAGUCUGGAGUACAGUAGAGGUGGGCGGAAUUCGUGGUGUAGCGGUGAAAUGCUUAGAUAUCACGAAGAACUCCGAUUGCGAAGGCAGCUCACUGGACUGCAACUGACACUGAGGCUCGAAAGUGUGGGUAUCAAACAGGAUUAGAUACCCCUGUAGUC